GAUGAACGCUAGCGGCAGGCUUAAUACAUGCAAGUCGAGGGGCAGCAGGUUUGUAGCAAUACAGAUGCUGGCGACCGGCAAACGGGUGCGGAACACGUACACAACCUUCCUUUAAGUGGGGAAUAGCCCAGAGAAAUUUGGAUUAAUACCCCGUAAUAUUAUGAUGUGGCAUCACAUUAUAAUUAUAGCUCCGGCGCUUAAUGAUGGGUGUGCGGCNGAUUAGGUAGUUGGCGGGGUAACGGCCCACCAAGCCUGCGAUCAGUAACUGGUGUGAGAGCACGACCAGUCACACGGGCACUGAGACACGGGCCCGACUCCUACGGGAGGCAGCAGUAAGGAAUAUUGGGCAAUGGAGGCAACUCU
rnacentral:rRNA from 1 species